rnacentral:snRNA from 1 species
GUGCUCACUUCGGCAGCACAGAUACGAAAACUGGAACGAUGCAGAGAGGAUUAGCACGGCGCCUGCGCGAGGAUGACACGCAAAUUUGUCAAGUGUUGCUGGGUGGU